AUUGAACGCUGGCGGCAUGCUUUACACAUGCAAGUCGAACGGCAGCGCGGGCUUCGGCCUGGCGGCGAGUGGCGAACGGGUGAGUAAUGCAUCGGAACGUGCCCAGUAGUGGGGGAUAGCCCGGCGAAAGCCGGAUUAAUACCGCAUACGACCUGAGGGUGAAAGCGGGGGACCGAAAGGCCUCGCGCGAUUGGAGCGGCCGAUGUCGGAUUAGGUAGGUGGUGGGGUAAAGGCUUACAAAGGCGACGAUCCGUAGCUGGUCUGAGAGGACGACCAGCCACACUGGGACUGAGACACGGCCCAGACUCCUACGGGAGGCAGCAGUGGGGAAUUGUGGACAAUGGGGGCAACCCUGAUCCAGCCAUGCCGCGUGCGGGAAGAAGGCCUUCGGGUUGUAAACCGCUUUUGUUCGGGAAGAAAUCCUCUGGGCUAAUACCCCGGGGGGAUGACGGUACCGGAAGAAUAAGCACCGGCUAACUACGUG
rnacentral:rRNA from 1 species